rnacentral:miRNA from 1 species
UACCCGUAAGCCAUUCUGUCGAG